rnacentral:rRNA from 1 species
AUUGAACGCUGGCGGCAGGCCUAACACAUGCAAGUCGAGCGGAUGAAGGGUGCUUUCUCCUGGAUUCAGCGGCGGACGGGUGAGUAAUUCCUAGGAAUCUGCCUUGUAGUUGUGGAUAACGUCCUUAAACGGGCUCUAAUACCGCAUACUUCCUUAGUGAGAUAGUUGGUGAUCUUCGGACCUCACGCUUUCAUAUGAUCCUAGGUCGGAUUAGCUAGUUGGUGGGGUAAAGGCCUACCAAGGCGACGAUGCGUAACUGGUCUGAGAGGAUGAUCAGUCACACUGGAACUGAGACACGGUCAAGACUACUACGGGAGGCAGCAGUGGGGAAUAUUGGACAAUGGGCGAAAGCCUGAUCCAGCAAUGCCGCGUGUGUGAAGAAGGUCUUAGGAUUGUAAAGCACUUUAAGUUGGGAGGAAGGGAAGUAAGUUAAUACCUUGCUGUAUUGACGUUAACAACAGAAUAAGCACCGGCUAACUACGUG